AUUGAACGCUGGCGGAAUGCUUUACACAUGCAAGUCGAACGGCAGCACGGGGGCAACCCUGGUGGCGAGUGGCGAACGGGUGAGUAAUACAGCGGAACGUGCCCAGUCGUGGGGGAGAACUACGCGAAAGCGUAGCUAAUUCCGCAUACGAACACAGGUUGAGAGCGGGGGAUCGCAAGACCUCGAGCGAUUGUAGCGGCGGAUGGCAGAUUAGGUAGUUGGUGGGGUAAAGGCUCACCAAGCCGACGAUCUGUAGCUGGUCUGAGAGGACGACCAGCCACACUGGGUCUGAGACACGGCCCAGACUCCUACGGGAGGCAGCAGUGGGGAAUUUUGGACAAUGGGCGCAAGCCUGAUCCAGCCAUUCCGCGUGCAGGAUGAAGGCCCUCGGGUUGUAAACUGCUUUUGUACGGAACGAAACGCGCCGGGUUAAUACCUCGGCGUAAUGACGGUACCGUAAGAAUAAGCACCGGCUAACUACGUGCCAGCAGCCGCCGUAACAC
rnacentral:rRNA from 1 species